GGCUCAGAUUGAACGCUGGCGGCAUGCCUUACACAUGCAAGUCGAACGGUAACAGGGAGCUUGCUCCGCUGACGAGUGGCGAACGGGUGAGUAAUAUAUCGGAACGUGCCCUAGAGUGGGGGAUAACUAGUCGAAAGAUUAGCUAAUACCGCAUACGAUCUAAGGAUGAAAGUGGGGGAUCGCAAGACCUCAUGCUCGUGGAGCGGCCGAUAUCUGAUUAGCUAGUUGGUAGGGUAAAAGCCUACCAAGGCAUCGAUCAGUAGCUGGUCUGAGAGGACGACCAGCCACACUGGGACUGAGACACGGCCCAGACUCCUACGGGAGGCAGCAGUGGGGAAUUUUGGACAAUGGGCGCAAGCCUGAUCCAGCAAUGCCGCGUGAGUGAAGAAGGCCUUCGGGUUGUAAAGCUCUUUUGUCAGGGAAGAAACGGGUUGAGCUAAUAUCUUGGCCUAAUGACGGUACCUGAAGAAUAAGCACCGGCUAACUACGUG
rnacentral:rRNA from 1 species